GACGAACGCGGGCGGCGUGCUUAACACAUGCAAGUCGAACGAAGAGCGAUGGAAGCUUGCUUCUAUCAAUCUUAGUGGCGAACGGGUGAGUAACGCGUAAUCAACCUGCCCUUCAGAGGGGGACAACAGUUGGAAACGACUGCUAAUACCGCAUACGAUCUAAUCUCGGCAUCGAGGAUAGAUGAAAGGUGGCCUCUACAUGUAAGCUAUCACUGAAGGAGGGGAUUGCGUCUGAUUAGCUAGUUGGAGGGGUAACGGCCCACCAAGGCGAUGAUCAGUAGCCGGUCUGAGAGGAUGAACGGCCACAUUGGGACUGAGACACGGCCCAGACUCCUACGGGAGGCAGCAGUGGGGAAUCUUCCGCAAUGGACGAAAGUCUGACGGAGCAACGCCGCGUGAGUGAUGACGGCCUUCGGGUUGUAAAGCUCUGUUAAUCGGGACGAAAGGCCUUUCUUUGCGAAUAAGUGAGAAAGGAA
rnacentral:rRNA from 1 species